GUAGGGGGCAAGCGUUAUCCGGAUUUACUGGGUGUAAAGGGAGCGUAGACGGUUGUGUAAGUCUGAAGUGAAAGCCCGCGGCUCAACUGCGGAACGGCUUUGGAAACUGUGUAACUAGAGUGCUGGAGAGGUAAGCGGAAUUCCUGGUGUAGCGGUGAAAUGCGUAGAGAUCAGGAGGAACACCGGCGGCGAAGGCGGCUUACUGGACAGUAACUGACGUUGAGGCUCGAAAGCGUGGGGAGCAAA
rnacentral:rRNA from 1 species